rfam:Acyrthosiphon pisum strain LSR1 Contig8676, whole genome shotgun sequence.
UAAACGGUUCUUUUAAGAACCAACAAUUUAAAACAGCCCUUCUCAG